CGAUGAUCCCCAGCUUGCUGGGGGGAUUAGUGGCGAACGGGUGAGUAACACGUGAGUAACCUGCCCUUAACUCUGGGAUAAGCCUGGGAAACUGGGUCUAAUACCGGAUAUGACUCCUCAUCGCAUGGUGGGGGGUGGAAAGCUUUUGUGGUUUUGGAUGGACUCGCGGCCUAUCAGCUUGUUGGUGAGGUAAUGGCUCACCAAGGCGACGACGGGUAGCCGGCCUGAGAGGGUGACCGGCCACACUGGGACUGAGACACGGCCCAGACUCCUACGGGAGGCAGCAGUGGGGAAUAUUGCACAAUGGGCGCAAGCCUGAUGCAGCGACGCCGCGUGAGGGAUGACGGCCUUCGGGUUGUAAACCUCUUUCAGUAGGGAAGAAGCGAAAGUGACGGUACCUGCAGAAGAAGCGCCGGCUAACUACGUGCCAGCAGCCGCGGUAAUACGUAGGGCGCAAGCGUUAUCCGGAAUUAUUGGGCGUAAAGAGCUCGUAGGCGGUUUGUCGCGUCUGCCGUGAAAGUCCGGGGCUCAACUCCGGAUCUGCGGUGGGUACGGGCAGACUAGAGUGAUGUAGGGGAGACUGGAAUUCCUGGUGUAGCGGUGAAAUGCGCAGAUAUCAGGAGGAACACCGAUGGCGAAGGCAGGUCUCUGGGCAUUAACUGACGCUGAGGAGCGAAAGCAUGGGGAGCGAACAGGAUUAGAUACCCUGG
rnacentral:rRNA from 1 species